CCCCGCGCAUGCGUCCCCGGCCCGCCGCGGGGGCCGCUCCGCGCUGCGCCCGCGGGCUCGGGUCAGUAUGGGAAGAUGUGGAUCUAUAUGCAGCUUACAUCUGAAGCAAUAAUGAAAGGUAUCAUUUCAGAGAGUGGCAAAACACAUUUCUUCAUAUACAUCAGAGACACUGUCUUUGGAAACCAAAGAGUCAAUCCACAGCUGGUGUGAACCUCCAGAUCUAUUGAGUUCUCCAAGUAUUUAGGAAGAGGAAGCUUAAAGAAAGACAAUCUUGAGCUGGAAUUAGAUGUUGGAAAUAAGGAGAUGUGAUAGGUCUGAAUGCCCGGUUUCAGAGCAUCAGAGUCAGCUCAGUGAUGGCCCUGCUCCACGUCCUGGCCUUGGUGCAGCUGAGGCAUGCAAGUACCUUGAUGUUUCUGAGCCUUCUCACUGGAGUCUGUGGCACAACUUGUGCUUGAAACCCUUGGUGACUCGGAGUUUCUGACAGAUUGACAGAAGACCCAGGAAGCCCGCAGCUUGCGCAAAGACUACUUAGAAAUUGCAAUAUGACACACACAAAAAGGAAAUCUCUGAUAGAGUAUGACUGUAUUAAGACACUAUGCCAUGCAUUUUAUUUCCCUGUUUGGCAAACUGAAGCCCCGCUAUACUCUAGUUGACGCUGUUGCCUUAUAUAUGUCAAUAAAUAGUUAAAUGUGCAA